rnacentral:lncRNA from 1 species
GCUCCUCUGACAGAUCUAGGGUCAUGGGAGAGAGUGCAUCCGCAAGAUCGGUGCCAUCGAGAUCGAUCUCUCGAUGAGGGAUCAGAGUCUCAAUUUUCUCUGAUGCUUCGGUUAAGCCAAAGUGAAGGCACUCUAUUGUAGGAUCUGCACCGGUGCAGAUCCGAUCAUCGGAUGGUGACACCAUGGAGUUGUUUUGUCCACACAAAGGGACCUGUGUGGGCCACCAAUGAUGGAGCUAAAUCCGAUAGAUCUUGGGUACAGGGUCCCAAUCUCGUGAUCUUGGCUUGAUAGUAACAUGACAGAGAAGGGACACGGUGUUUACCCCAGGUCUGGGCCCUCUCAUAGAGGUAAAACCCUACAUCCUGCUUGUAUUUUAUUUAUUAUGGAUGGGGUAUAGAGUACAGGUUCAUCUAUCUCGAGAUCGUAUAUGUGAAUGAAUCUACCUCUACGGUCUAAACCCCUUAGUUUAUAGACACAGGGGUACCUAGGGUUACACCUAGGUCGGUUAUAUCUAAGGAUAAGCAUCCCGUGGAUUACAUCAUGCCUUGAAGUAUGCACCAAGACUUCGAAAGAUUCCAUCUUGAGUACGCCGUGGGGCCUGAGAAAUUCGACCCACUGGUUGGUAGUUUGGGGGUUCUCGGCCGAGCCCAUUCUUGGGUGCCGACAUGGACAGUAAUCCCUUGUCUAGGACACCAUCACCUGGCCGGGAGUCAACAUGGUAAGUACCCCCUGCUCUAGGACACCGACAAGCACAUGAGCUUCCUCUCACCAACUGGCAAGUCUGCGCAUGAGCUUUAUGAUCAAGUGACCAGUACAUGCGGAGCCGAUGGAGAACUACUCGAGGGACUUGCGGCGUGGCAACGAUGGUGGAGACGGCGCCGAGCAGAAGGUUCAGCGCUUGGAUUUGCAGAAGAAUGAAGUCGAACUUAGCCUCGGGCUAUCGCUCGGAGGCCGGUUUGGGCGGGAGAUAAGGAGCAGCGAGGGGCUCGCGAGGUCCUCAUCAGUCGCGUGCAUCCGGGAGGUGGCGUUGGUGCCUGCCACGCUCGCUAGAACGAACUCGCUGCGAACUAUGGCAGAUGCGGAGGAGGAGAACAACACCACUUCCCUUAGGAGCGGCACCGAGGUCCAGCCCUCAGCGACCCUGCAGGGCAGAGGCACAUGUGUGUUGCCCGCAGCAAAGCUGUGGGCCAGCUUGAACCCAUCUCGGGCUCAUCGGAUGGCGAAGGUGUGUCUGCCUUCAUGUUUCCUUCUGACGAUAAUGCUAUAUGUACUGUAUUAGUCCUUAAUCUAAGCAAAUGUGGUUGAGUGGUACUAUUCUUUAGCUCAAUUAAUUUACAUGCUCAACAAUGUUCAAAUGUUAGUAACUUGCAUGCAUCUCACUUAUAAAUAUUCUGUUAAUUAGGUAGGUGUAACGAACACCAUCCCAUUGUUUUUAUCUGGUAUAGUACGAAAGGGUAUUAAUUGUUUCAUUUCUUGUAAGAGAAGCCUCGGAUUUGUGAGCAUGGGUGCAAUGCACAUUAGGAAAGUGGAAUUGGGGCUUGCCAUUUACAUGUUGCACCUGACGGAUGAAUGAAGCAGUACCACUAUGGAGUAAGGCACCCCUGUUCUAGAGUAUAGCCAAGCUAUUGGAUCUUGGGUGGAUUCGGCAAUCUAGGGUGAUGUGAAAUCAUUUGUGUUUCCUCUUUGGCAUAGGGGUUGCCUUGCUAAUUUGACAACUUCCAAAUUAUGCUGUUGGUCUGUUUAUAACAGUUUGUGUGCAAUGGUUUACUAGGGCACUAUCAUGUUUUGAGUACCGUUUUACGAAGAUGCGAAAGAAAAGCAUAACCAUGCUGUGAGUUAGUAGCUGCCUGGGAAUCCAUCUCUAGCCCUAUAGCCUAUGGGAAUAGGAAAGUACUACUCGCGCCGUCGAGGCACACAAUUAUUAGCUCGCUAGCAUUUCUUUUUUACAAAGAGGCUGAAUUCAUAUAUUGAAGUCGACCAAUCCUUACAUGACCAUCCUUAAAGAAAUAGGAAAUUAUGCAUGGGUCCUUAAAAAUUGACGUAUUCUUCCUCCUACACCAACUAGUGGUCCGCUGUGAACAAAGAUAGAUGUUGAUGAUGUAGCAGCCAAGAAUCCUUCGUCAUAUCCAGAAGACGCUGGCGAAAAUAGAUCGCCAUCCUCGAGAAGGUGGGAAAGAGGGCUAGAUGACAACCCUAGAUCUAGAAAAACGGUUCUUGGGAGAACUAACCUCAUUAGCUCCCCGAUGAAGCUGAAACUAGCCAAACUUCAUCGUUGUACAAGGAGGCAGAGGACCAAGGGAUGAAUCACAUCGACUACUUUGCUGGAUGACAAAUUUUGACGAGAUCAUGUCCUUUACUAGUAUAAAAAUAACAGGAUCAUGUCUGUUACACCUACCUAAUUAACAGAAUUUUAACAAGUGAGAUGUAUGCAAGUUACUAACAUUUUAACAUUGCUGAGCAUGAAAUUAAUUGAGCUAAAAACAAUACUACUCUGCCACAUUUGCUUAGCCUAAGGAAUAAUACAAAACAUAUAGCAUUACCACCAGAAGGAAACAUUAAGACAAACGCACCUUCACCGCCCAAUGAGCCCGCGGACUGGUUCAAGCUGGCCCAUAACUUUCCACUAGCUCCACCCUGGUGUCGCUUCCCUGCAGGGUCGCCGAGGGUCAGACAUCAGCGCUGCUCCUAAGGAAGCAGUGUUAUUCCCCUCCUCCGCAUCUGCCAUAGUAGGCAGCGAGUUCGUCCUAGCAAGCAUGGGUGGCACUAGUGCCACCUCCUAGAUGCAUGCGACCGACGGGGACCUGGCGAGCCCCUCGCUGCUCCUUCUCUCUCGCCCGAACAGACCCCUGAGCGACAUCCCGAGGCUAAGUUCCAACUCCUCCUCCCACGAAUCCAAGCACUAAGCCUUCCGCUUAUCGUCGUCUCCCCCAUCGACGCCACACGACAAGUCCCUCGAGUAGUUCUCCAUUAACGCCACACGUACUUGUCACUUGGUUAGAUAAAGCUCCCGCACAAACUCUUCACUUGGUCAGAGGAAGCUCACGCGCUCAUCGGAGAAGAACCUGCCUAGGGGAGGAAGAGAAACCAAGCACAAUUAAGGAGGGCAACUCAUGAAGCAUGAUGCGAGAGAGAAAUGAACAUAUAGGAGGAGGAGAAUCGAGGAGAGGGGCCCGAACGAGAAUUGUGCAGCCGAGGAGGAAGGAGGGCAGGAUUGAUGUCUGCUAAUGUGGUGUUCCGCUCUACUCGUGGAUGCCUCGCGUGGAGAGGAAGACACUCUCUUGCAACACAAAUUUUGCUC